rnacentral:lncRNA from 1 species
GGCAAUUCUGUGGAAGAGCUGGUUUUUAAUAUUUCCUCCCCUUGAGAUAACCAUGGAAAAGAUACUUUUGGAGUGGAUGAUAUAGUUUGCAUUCUAACUGUUGAAUUCUCAUGGGGUUAGUUAGUGAUUAAAUGCCAGUAAAGCAUGAAGUAGGGGGAUUUGACAUCUUUUUUCUUCCCAGAUGUGCUAUAGUUCCAGCCAGUUGGGAAUGUCAGAUUUUGAAGUUAAGUAUUUUAGAAAUGGAAGUUCAGGAGUAGACAAAUUAUGUUAAUAGAAUCUGCAGAAGGACUAUUUCAAGAGGCUUGCUGGAAGUAAUGGAAUCAUGAAAUAAGGAUAUAGGGCAGUAGAGCAUUUAAUUUACCAGGUAAUAGUUAACAUACAUUUAUUCAUAUAGUAAACAUUUAUGAUUUACCU